AUUGAACGCUGGCGGCAGGCUUAACACAUGCAAGUCGAGCGGUAACAGAGAGAAGCUUGCUUCUCUGCUGACGAGCGGCUGACGGGUGAGUAAUGCCUAGGAAUCUGCCUAGUAGUGGGGGAUAACUUGCCGAAAGGUAAGCUAAUACCGCAUACGUCCUAACGGAGAAAGGAGGGGACCUUCGGGCCUUUCGCUAUUAGAUGAGCCUAGGUCGGAUUAGUUAGUUGGUGAGGGAAUGGCUCACCAAGACCGCGAUCCGUAACUGGUCUGAGAGGAUGAUCAGUCACACUGGAACUGAGACACGGUCCAGACUCCUACGGGAGGCAGCAGUGAGGAAUAUUGGUAAAUGGGGGCAACCCUGAACCAGCCAUGCCGCGUGCAGGAAGACGGCUCUAUGAGUUGUAAACUGCUUUUGUACAGGGAUAAAUCGGGAUACGUGUAUUCCGUUGAAGGUACUGUACGAAUAAGGAUCGGCUAACUCCGUGCCAGCCGCCGCCGUAA
rnacentral:rRNA from 1 species